GUGCAGCUGAGUGAUCAGGAGGGGUGGAGCCAGGAUCCACCCCUUCCCAGACCUCUUUAAAGGUUGGCAGGGGAGACACAAGUAGCUCACUGAAGACCCCUGCCUACCUGAGGCCUUCUGAAUGUAAGUAGUGUCUUCAUUUAUUUCUGCAUCUAUGGCUGCUGCUUUUGGGCUUGUUCUCCUUUGCUACAGCCAAAGGUUUUGCAACCCUGCUAUUGUUGCUGUAUUUUCCAUCACAUCACAGCUUUACAGGUGUCCUCUGCCAUCCUGCAGCAACAACUUGUUUUGUGCCCCAUUGAGUGUGAUGUGUGUUUUCAUGAAGAUGCAGCCAGGGCUUGAGUCAAAGCAUAGCAAAGCUGAAGCUUCAGGGAAGCUGGGAUGUGAAAUGUUCCUGGGUUUCUUUGACAAUGAAAAAAUGAGUCUUUUUGCCAUAUUCCCCAGGUGUUUUCCUAGAUGUCUACUAGUCAGCCCCUUGCUUCCUGCCUGCAAUUAGCACUUACAUUGUUGCAAAGGGAGAUGAGAUUCACUCUCUGCCAUCCUCUUUCAGAAAUUUCUCACACCUUUCCUACCAGGUGGGAAUAUGAGCUGUGGGUAAGAGGAGAUCCUAGUAGUGGAAUUAGAUUUGCAAGCAAUCCUACCCCCCAUCUCUCUUCUAUUAGAUAUUAGUCCUCAUCAUGGUGUGUGAGCAUGAAAGCCCACAAACAGGAUUUGAUUCAGCAAAGACCCAAAUUUUCAUGACUUCAUUCUGCCCCUGGAAUUACAGAGGCACAAAUUGGUCCACAUGCACUUCACACAGGGUAACUGCAACUGGAUAAGUGUCUGCUAUUUUGGUGAAGGAGAAGGGUGAAUAGAAAGCUGGGAGUACAUGACCGCUGACCUUAAUUAGGGAAGAUAAAAAUGUUGAAACAUGAUUCCUAUGAAAACCAAGGAAGGUCUUUAUCGUCGAGUGUUUCCACAUGGAUGCCACUGAGAAGAGGUCAAGCGUUUUCUAUAUACUUUAAGUAAACAGCACAUUGAGUUCAUAGUCUGGACUAGAUUUGAGCAGCCUCUGUAUUCUGCAACAUCAUAAUUGAGUCUUAUGUACUUAAGAUUUGAUUGAUAUCCACCAACAUUAUUACCUGAGAUUUGCCAGGAAACACGGUGGCUAUUAAGAGCUUGCUAGUGAAGCUAUGCCUAGUGUCAUAUAUGGCUAACCCCAGGAUGGGACUGGGCCUUGGGCUCUGACUCUAUCAGAGGAAGAAUGAUGGUUUCUCUUAGGAGUUGCUGUUGUUGGUUUUUGUCUGAUAAUAUGUAUUUUCAAAUCUUUCCUGCUGUGUAAAAAAUGCACAUAAUCUGCAAAAUUAAAUUUGUUAAAUGAGAAAUGAGUUAUAUGGCAGGAAGAGAGUGCUCCAAAUAAGGCAGUUUACUUGCAUGCCACUAAUGAAGCAAUCAUGCCAUUUUAUGGUAUCAGGCGAAAAAUUCUUGUGUUCUUCCUUGCAGUUAUUCAGGCUGAAAGUUAAGACAACUGAAUGUAGUGGCUUUGGACCAAAACCAACUCAGUUUCCCUACCUGGAAAUGGGAUGACAAUUAAAUUACAAAUUGCAGUCUUAUAUCUGCAGAUUUAGCUCUCGUAUCACUGCCACCUAUGCUUAUGUUAUCAGGUAACAGCAUUCAUCACUCCAUGCUCCACAUUCCCUCCAAGAUCUCACUAGAGGUCCUGUUUCCAGAUAGGGAAAAGAAGUCAUAGAGCAAUGAUCCAAGUCCACACAACCCAGUGGCAGACCAUCCUGAGCCCCCAGUUAGACCCAGCAGACCUAGUAACUUCUACAGCUAUUACAAGCAGGAAGAAAGGGCAGGAGUGUGCUUAGGGCCUAACUAGAAACAGAUGCGUUGCUGGAAGUAUUCCUGUCCUUCACAUGAAGACUGGAAGUAUUGGUGCCCAAAUUAUUUAAGUGUAUUGCUGGGAGGAGGGAAAUGAGGCAUGAAACAUGGGAACUUCAUUCUCUCAACUUUCAAGCUGAGCAAUAAAGGUUUAGAUGCAGCCAAAGCAAAAAUACCUCUUUCCUGGUCUGCAUCUGCUUGUUAAAAGGAAAAAGAAAGGGCAGCAGAUUUGUGAGUGCUUUCCUGCUAGAACUGUAGAUUUGAAAGCCGUGUCCUUGAUUAAAUUGGGGAAUGCAAUUGCAUGUGCCAUUAAUUAUUACUGAUAAACCAAAAGAGUGAUGAAGUCAAAUAAAAAUCUCCUGCCACUGUGAUCAGGUUCUGUGAAAAAGAAAAACCCAGGAGCCUCCAGCCUAUUAGUAUUUUUUUUUUUUUGUGAAAUGUCUGAAUUGCUAAGUCUCCAAACCUGGUGUGCACUCCAAGUACGUGAUAUCUAUAGGUGCAGAUCAAGAGAGCUGAAGUUUAUCUACACAGACAGCAAAAAGCAGCUUACUGUCCCGUUAACAUGUGACCAGCCCAAUUAUGGCUUCUUCCCCAUGACAUCAGUAUGCAACGGAGAAUCUCACUUUUUUUCCUCUUGCCAGAGGCAAGUGAAUACAUUAUCCAGCAGCGAGGCGUGGGGCAGGCGGAUGUGUAACUCUGGGGUGAUUUGGAUUCCACACGCGUGUGGGGGUGUGAGCCAGCCUCAGAAGUCAUUUUCACCGAUGCUGACACAUACGGCAUCCCUCAGAGGUCUGUCUAUCAAACUGCAACAUGCUAUGCAGAAAAAUUAGAUUACUCAUGCUACAAUAAAGAAGGGGAGAUGACAAUGAUGGAAAAAAACUUCAAAAUCUAACAGCUAUUUAUGAAAUGAGUAUAAAUCCUAACAAUGGAGAAGUAUCCUAGAGACUUAUUUAUUUUAGCUCUUGCAAACCAUUUCAGGGAGAGCGAGUUAGAAAGAUCCUAUUAAUUCUGACACUGCCUCUGGAAAAAAAAACACCACUUCAUCACAAUUGUCACGUUACAGUUAUUGUGAAAUACCGUCUUAAGUACUCAUUAUGAUUUUGCUGCUGGUCUUGCUGCUCUCGGCAGCAGGGUUUCCUCUGGCUUUGGUAAGUGCAGGAUCAGGCCCUCUCUGUUCCUCUCUAUGAAUUGCAAAUGGACUGCUCGUGUGCCAGCUGAGUAACUAGGCAAAGUUCACUGUGCUCAGUUCAAAGCAUGCAAGAUGAAGCUCAGGGCAUUUCACUCACAGUAUUUGCAGAGUUCCUCAGGUCUACAAAAGUGUUAAAGUGGUUUAAUACAAAAUCCAUAAGACAAACGUUAUGCAGCAAUGUGUGAAGCCCUGUCCAAUAAAAUCCAUUUCUUUGGGAAAAAAUACAAAGUAGUAAAACAUAUUUUGUGUAGAAAAGAAAAGGCUAUGUGAAGCUUAGGAAAAUCCUAUAAAUCAGAAUGCUGUACAGCUUCAGGAAAGGAGAUUUAAAAUAAAUCUGUGGAAGAACAUACACAGACGCACACACACAGAUAGCUGGAAAUGGAUCCGGACAAGUGCUGAGGUUAGAACUUCUCAGACAGCACUGUGGGACUAGUUUUACAAUAGCAGAGAAUGGAGAGGUUUGGCUGAAUGCUGAUUUUUCAUCUGUAGUAAUAACAAACCUACGUUGGGGUUUCUAUGGUAUUUGCUCCUUGAGUUAUUCCCCAGGAAUGCUAUCUAGGAAAGAUAAUUGAAACUUUUAACUCCUGCCUGCCCUGGAUCAUCUAUUAGCCAUACUACUGUCAGCUGCAAAUUGUUUUAUUAUUAUUUCUGGAGGAGCCAGUUGUUGUACGUUGAUUUGUCAAGCAGUUCCAGCCAUUUCCUGUGGGGUUUACUACCCUAUUUUGGUUGUCUCUUCCCAGAGAUAAGUCCUGGUUCCUCUCCAAGCCAGAAGCAGAGCUCCAUUUGGUGGCCCUGCAUCCCACGGAGCCUCUGUGGAGCUGCUGGCCUGCUGUCCAGGACAAGGAACUGCCCCGUGGUACGUUUAGCUUUCCUUGCUCAUUCUUUGAGUGUGUGACACUAUUAAACUCUGGUGUAGAUCAACCAAGCUGCGUGAUUUAAGCCUACCUAGUAGUUUUGGAGGGCUUUCUUCUGGCUUUGGCUGCUUAAUGCAGACAUGCAAUUUGAAUGUGACCACACAUAGUGGAAGUACACGGAAUUAUAGGUCUUCUUAAAAUUGUCAGGAGCAAAUAUGAUCAGAUCUGGUUCUUGAUCUCAUUACUGUCUGAAAGAUUUGACUGGCAUUUUUAAAUGCCAUGAUUUAUGUUCUUCACCUUAACACAGCCCUCAGUAGUGUAAACCCAGUAACUCUAUUAUUCUCCAGGGCAACUUCUAGGAAUCUGAUUGGAGAAUUUACACAACGCUGUGUCUAUAAGAAAAUAUUAACAUGGAUUAAGACAAGUUGAUAGAUAUUAAACUAGGCUAUAGAAUGAAAACCACUGAGAAUAAAUCAAAUAACUUUGCCUAACUACAGAAAGUAUUUGUAAAGCCCUGCAAGGUUUCCAUUUCCUAAAGCCACCUGCCAUCUCAAAUGCCCCUAAUCAGUCACAGAUGUUGGAUACCAACCUGCUAACCUUAUGGCUUUGAGAGAAAAUAUUGCACUUCUGUAAACUCAUUCUUGGGUGUUUCCUUUAUUUUUAAAAAAAAACCUAAACUUUCAUCCCUUAUUUUCCACUUAAGUGUAAUGAGUUAUAUCAACUCUGACACUUUGUUCUGCUUAGCCUUCUAGUUCUAGUUAGCUGCUUUCCUACCUGGCUCUGUAGAUGUCUAAAGGCCUCAGGUUGUUGUUGUUUCAAUUGUUAGGGUACUUUUUGACUUUACAACUCACGAUUCCCAUUUUGGCAAUGAAGAUGCAAAACAUCUUUUCUGUAACCAUCUGCUAAUGGAAAAGUGCAUAUUUUUCUUUUCUCAACUAGUGUUUGUCUCCACAAUGAAGAUAUAUCAAGUGCUGAGCUUUCAUGAAGUACUCUGGAAACAGGAGGAAAAAAAGGUAUGCUCCUAGUGACAGAUUUGGGAAAUGGCGACAGCUGAACAGCCUCCACUCUUGUCAGCCAUUGCACCUUACUGCCUCAGUUUCCCUACUGCUAAAUUAAAGCACAUUUAUAUCAGAAACUGUUUUUUCAACUAGGAAAGCUAUCUCAGUAUUUGAUAUGUUUUCUUCUACUGAAGUAGAGUUGUGAUCAGACCCAUUCCACAUCAGAGAAAGUGCAGGUGAGAGAUGCUGGCCUGUAACACCUAACGCUGAUCCUCCAUCUGUGGGGCUGUUGGCAUUGCUAGUUCAAAUAGUUCAUCUGGAGGAAAAAUAUGUUUAACUUGGAUAUACAGGGCUUCAGAUCCAGCAGGGCACACUCUUAAGAAAAUGCCCUGCUGGUCAUUUAAUCCCUGCUUUCUUUGCUAUGUGGUGCACAUUGGCCUGCUCAGGAGGUGUGCCCUGCUCCUCCAAUGCUGUGAUGUGACCAGCAACCCCCGGAGAUCGGCGGCUCUGCAGCUGUACGUCCUGCCUUCUGAAUUCUGAGCCCUGGGAAGGGACUGGAAGAGCUGAACGGUUUUAUCUGCACCAGCCACCCCUACCUACCUUAAAGCCCCAAACCACGAGGGGCAGUUGGUUACACAGCAUGGUAGGGCGGUAGGGCGCAAGCUAUUAGCCCCAAGUGUUUCCUGAGGCCUGACUUCAUUUGUGGCACGGCAAGGCACAGCACAAGCCCUUUCCCACGCGAUGUCUGAACUGAACCUCAUCAGCAGUGCCCAGGCUCAGAUCCUGACCCAGCCUGCACUGCAGCCCCUCUGCUGAACUAACCCGAGAUGAAAGGCGUCAAAUGACAGGAUACAGAGUGCUGAGAGCUGGCAGCAGAGGUUUCUUCUGCAGACAUCUUGCUGGUUGUUUUAAGGUCUUCUGCCUCUAAGUGGCACCAUGCUGAGUGAUUGAACACUUGCUAGAAUCUGUUCUACCUUUUAUUGCAAUGAUUUAUUACAGAGCUCCCAGUUUCCAAACUCUGAACUUUCACAAGCACUGCCUGGAUGUCGGAGCCCUUUUGUCAGAAACACCAGAGCCUUCUGGAGUGAUGGUCUCGGUACUACAAAAUGCCUUUGGAAAGCCACGGCUCUUGAACCAGCACGGGGAAAGACUGAACUUUCAUUUUUAGAGAAGGCUCUCACAUCCCCAGGAUCUGCAGUGAGAGGUACUCAAAACACAGCCAGGAGAAGCUUUCUCUGCUGUAAAUUUCCAGAGGAUCAUAAUCUUGCAUAGUCCAGUUUAUGGAUUUGUAUGUGCUUAAUAUAAUUAGGCUCAGAUUGUCUUUAUGUAGCUACUGCUCAGAGAGCAGAAAGUAGUUUGGAAGGGGGACAGAGAGUGUCCCAGAAUGGAUGGGUCCAGUCUACAUGGCUAUGAGACAGACAGAUAGACACACACUUAUUCUGAACAUCCUGAAACUGCUUAAGCGAAGCGGACUCCCCAGACUAGCUAUGCAGUACUGGCAAUGUUGUGCUGCUAAAAACAGAAGGAAGUGAUCUCCUCUCAGUGCCACAGUGGGCUCACAACACAAUAACAUUCAGAUACUCAAGCAUCUACUAUGAAAUCUGACUUUGCUUUAGUACUUAGAAGUCCUCACAUAUUUUGCAGCGUUUAGGGCUGCCUUACUCUACCUUAAAAUACAGUAAGGUUUUCCUGUCCCUACAUAAUGAAACAAAAUCCACACCCCAAACUCCUACAGCUCAAAACAACAAACCAGUGCAGCUCAGGAAAACUACGGAUACUUUAACAGAGCUAAAGAAAUGCACAUCAUGAGAAAAGUUUUCCUGUAUUUGAGAGAAGGUUGUCAGGAUGGUAAUAUAGUACAGUGUGUAGUGAAGACUGGGAGAUUUAUGUGCCAAUUCUGUGUAUGAUUUAUUUAGAUGAAUCGUUUUUUAUCAAUAUGUAAAAAUCCAAUAAAUAUAACUCCCUAUACAAAGGGUUGCUCCAGUCCCAAUGUUUCAGUGGACAGUUUUGGCAGAAAGUCAGGAUGUGCAUUAAAAACACACUUUUUGAAAAGUCCAAUAAAUAAAACCUCUGAAAUAUGGUUUCCUACUGAGAAAGGCAUUUUAAAUCAUUUUGAUAAAGAACCUAAAUUAGGCCUUAAAAGGAGGGGGAAGCUAGGUCUCUGCAACUAAUUAUUUAUAGGUAUUUUGAAUAUAAAAGUCCAGGAAAGCCUGCCUCCAUCCCCCAUUCUCUGCCACAAUAAAGGGGAAAGAAAAAGCCACUCCCCUUCCGCCUCUCACCCAAAUUAAAAGACAGAAGUGUUAGAAAGGGGCCAAAGAAAACAAAAUUAAAAUGGGGAACAGGCACCUGACAAAAACAAGGAACUUCAGAAGUCCUGGAAAAAAAAACCUGCACACUUUCUCCCCAAAGCAGCGAUACCAGGAAGGGACAGGUCUUCACUUCUCUGCAUUACUCAAGAGAAGUGGGUUGCUACUCACCCCUGUCCUCUGAAGAGGGAAUAUACUGCUAUUUGCUCAGCACCACAGGGAAUGUUUUUAGAAGUGAAUCAACAUUUGAAUAACCCUAUUCUCUCUGAAAGUCAAAGCAAUUUAGAGAUGGCAUAGAAGUCAAAACUGCUGGGGACUAAGGCUUCUGAAUCACUUAAGUGCUUCUGGAUAGGUUAGCCCAAAAACGUAGCUGACGUUUGUCAUGUGUACAACCACCCACAGGCCUUGCCUUUAGGGGAUUUACAGCAUAGGGACCUGCUACCCCCUGCUGCAGAACCAGUGGGGCUGAAGAUGUGCUCGUGUGUUUAAGGGGGAGAGUCUGUGGCUCCACAGCAGUAAUUGGCAGCGCCCUGUUUUGCAUCUCAAGCCAAGCCCAGAAAUUCAGGUGCAGUUCACAAGGCUCAAGGCUCUGAAUGGGAAGGCUGAGAAAUGAGAGAUUAAUAAAUGGAAGCACAGUGUGUGUGCUGGAGAGAUUUCUGCUAUGGUGGUUGUGCCUAUCAGGCUUCCUACUGAACUUACUGCUAUUCAUCUUACAGACAUCUAGAAUUUCCCUCCCUGUUCUCAGCUUCACCUUGUACUCCCUUCUGCCUCCAGGCACGAGCCGCUCUUGUCCCUGCACAAGGGCCAUUCAUUCUCUGCUCCAUCAGGAGCGCUUCCCUCUGAGUUUGGGUUCAUCCCUCUCCUUAAAUCUGACCUUCAGAUCUUCUUUCUCAUUGCAGGGCUCAGCAAGGUGUACUACAGAAAGACCCACUGCGCUUGCUGAAGCAGGAUGCUGCUAGCAGAUAGCACUAGGGAAGGAAAACACAAACCUCAGAAAAUUAAUAGAAGCAUUUAAGAGUUGGAAUUCAACAAUGUGGGUCCGCAUUUUCCUUUGGCCUGGCUCUGUGCUGUGAUUUCAUAGAUCACAAGAGCACCUUUUUGUUGACUGGGGCCAGUCACAAGUCUUCUAGCAUCCUCCAAAUCCAAGCAAGACGAGGCUGCCCAGACUUACAGACAGCUUGCAGCCCUGAUGUGUGCACAACCUGAACUUACAGACAGUGCCCUCAGGUAAGAAAUAAUAGAAGAGCUCAGCCACACAGCACCAGUGCAGCAUUUAGCUCCAAAGCUGACACAAAUACGUGGCCAAGUUUUCAAAAUAACUGAGCAGCUUGAGGGCUUUGUUGCCUGCAGACACAUCAGCGGGAACUGCAGGACUCAAUUCUGAAAAUCUGGGCUGGGAGUACUCAAAAAAUGGGCCAAGGGCUCUUCUGAAAAUAUAGUAAAUGGCCAAAUGAGAAAGAGCAACAGAUAGGAUGGCAGCACAAAACCAGAAGGUGCUAGCUGAAUUGAAGACAAGAUUCUAUCCCCAGUUCACAGCAGCUUUGAGAUUUCUCUCAACUCACCAGAAAGAGAAGUUCACAGCCGAAAUGUAAAA